CCUAAAUAAGUGAAAUUACUAAAAUGCCCUUACAAAUCCAAAAUGCCAAUUUUCUUCUUCUCUUUACUCUCCACGUACAAAGCAAGAAUGAAGAAAACUCUUCAUUCCUCUCCUUCCCUCAAUUCAGUCUUGAUUCAUGCCUUGAUCUCCAAGCCAUUUUCCUUCUCAUUCACUCUACUUUACUCUACAAAUCAGACACAAUUUCAACUAAAUUCCAACCAAAAAUAAAAAAAAUCAAAUUUCAAUUUCAUUUUUCUCUGUUUCUUUGAUUCGAACCAUCUCCCACCACCAUCAACCACCACCGUGACCACCUUGACCACCACUGGACCACCACUUUCACCAUCCCGCCUCGCCUCUGGCUGUUUCAGUCAACUACCACCACCGCGAUUUCCUCCAUUUCCUUCGACCAGAACGGGGCCGCAUUCCCCUGCCUCCCUCGCCUCCCCCUCUGCCGCACCACCUAACCACAACCACCACCAAUUCCAAACACCUCCUACCUCCUAAACCUACACACCGCCCCAACCUCCGGCAAAACUCCGCCCAGAACCGCCCAGAAACACCCUCAACCUCCCCUGCUUGGUUCGACCGUCCUCUCUCCCCUCCGUUGUUGUUUCUCCGCCGCGGAACAACCACCACCACCUUCGCCUCUGGCGCGGGUUCGCGGUGCUGCGCCGCCCAGCCCAGCCACCUAAUUCCUCCUCCCUUCUCUCUUCCUUCCCUUCGUACUCCUCUGUUUCGAGCACCCACCUCCCCGCUCCACGCUUCCUGUUUUCUUUUUUUUCCAGAAAACACGUUCCUACUUGGAACUCAGCCCCCUUUAUUUUCUCAAGCCAAGGCCCAAUUCUUUGGCCCAAUUUUCCAAAAAAUUGGACUCGGGGCUCAGGAAGGACGAUCCAUCAGACAGGAAGUAUAAAAACUACGGUUGAGGUACUGCUGGGGACCACGGAAACGAGUAGUGGCGAGGAUUUCACUAUUACCAAGUUCACCUAAGUUAAUGUUAAGUUGUAACAAGUUUCAGUAAAGAUUCGAGAUUAAGUUAUGUACUUUGAUUAAGGAAU